rnacentral:rRNA from 1 species
CAGUAGCCGCGGUAAUACAGAGGGUGCGAGCGUUAAUCGGAUUUACUGGGCGUAAAGCGUGCGUAGGCGGCUUCUUAAGUCGGAUGUGAAAUCCCUGUGCUUAACUUAGGAAUUGCAUUCGAUACUGGGAAGCUAGAGUAUGGGAGAGGAUGGUAGAAUUCCAGGUGUAGCGGUGAAAUGCGUAGAGAUCUGGAGGAAUACCGAUGGCGAAGGCAGCCAUCUGGCCUAAUACUGACGCUGAGGUACGAAAGCAUGGGGAGCAAACAGGAUUAGAUACCCCCGUAGUCCCUGUCUCUUAUAC